rnacentral:rRNA from 1 species
UACAGAGGGGGCAAGCGUUAUUCGGAAUUAUUGGGCGUAAAGGGCGCGUAGGCGGCUUUGCAAGUGACGGGUGAAAUCCCUCGGCUUAACCGAGGAACUGCCUGUCAAACUGCAUGGCUUGAGACCGGGAGAGGUGAGUGGAAUUCCUGGUGUAGCGGUGGAAUGCGCAGAUAUCAGGAGGAACACCGGUGGCGAAGGCGGGUCUCUGGGCCGAUACUGACGCUGAGACGCGAAAGCGUGGGGAGCGAACAGG